GUGGGGAAUCUUGCACAAUGGGGGAAACCCUGAUGCAGCGACGCCGCGUGAGCGAUGAAGCCCUUCGGGGUGUAAAGCUCUUUCGACAGGAACGAUUAUGACGGUACCUGGAGAAGAAGCUGCGGCUAACUACGUGCCAGCAGCCGCGGUAAUACGUAGGCAGCAAGCGUUGUUCGGAGUUACUGGGCGUAAAGAGUAUGUAGGCGGUUCGCUAAGUUUGGUGUGAAAUCUCCCGGCUUAACUGGGAGGGUGCGUCGAAUACUGGCGGGCUUGAGUAUGGGAGAGGAAAGCGGAAUUCCUGGUGUAGCGGUGAAAUGCGUAGAUAUCAGGAGGAACACCUGUGGUGUAGACGGCUUUCUGGACCAUCACUGACGCUGAGAUACGAAAGCGUGGGUAGCAAACAGGAUUAGAAACCCGAGUAGUCC
rnacentral:rRNA from 1 species